rnacentral:lncRNA from 1 species
AAUGUUCUUGAGUAUCUCUUAGAAAACCUAUUUUUGGAAUUUACUAAUGAGUUAAUAUUGGCUUGUUCUUUAGAACUUCAAUUUUUAUGCCAAUUCAUUAUUAUAUGUACCAAAAUAUGCUUCUUUUUUAAAGGAUUAAAGUUUUUAUAAGAACCUUCAAAGCUUUGAAUUUUAUGUAUGCUAAGUUGCAUGAAUUCAUGUUUUUUUGGCAUUUAUGCCACAAUAUUUUUACACCAUAAAUGAACAAGCUUUCAUACUUAUUAUUGAAGAGAGGUUAGAUUUCCAUUCGUGCUUUCCUUGAAUAUCAUUCAUGGUACUUCUUGAAUCAACUUGAGAAAGAUUCCACCUACACUUAAUUUGAAAACUAUCUUUGGAAUCACAUUCGAUAUGUUCUGCUCUGAAAUUGGCUCUGAUCUAUGCCCAUUAAUCUUAUUCUAAUAUUAUUGCCUUGAGUUAUAUGAUUCAUAUUCUUGCAAUAAUUUGACAUGCAAAUCAGAGUACAAUAAGAAAUAUUUGAGUAUUCUUAUCUUUGUGCUUAAUGUUUCACUAUCUUUUUGAUGUUGUCAAAAAGGGAGAGAAAUAUCUAAGUAUAUGCUCAUAAUGCUUUAUGUGUUGAU